AGUCGAACGAACCCUUCGGGGUUAGUGGCGCACGGGUGCGUAACGCGUGGGAACCUGCCUUUAGGUUCGGAAUAACUCAGAGAAAUUUGAGCUAAUACCGGAUGAUGUCUUCGGACCAAAGAUUUAUCGCCUUUAGAUGGGCCCGCGUUAGAUUAAAUAGUUGGUGGGGUAAUGGCCUACCAAGUCGACGAUCUAUAGCUGGUCUGAGAGGAUGAUCAGCCACACUGGGACUGAGACACGGCCCAAACUCCUACGGGAGGCAGCAGUGGGGAAUAUUGGACAACGGGCGAAAGCCUGAUCCAGCAAUGCCGCGUGAGUGAUGAAGGCCUUAGGGUUGUAAAGUUCUUUUACCGGGGAUGAUAAUGACAGUACCGGGAAAAUAAGCUCCGGUUAACUCCGUGCCAACACCCGCGGUAAUACGGAGGGAGCUAGCGUUGUUCGAAAUUACUGGGCGUAAAGCGCGCGAAGGCGGGUUUUUUAAUUCAGGGGGGGAAAUCCCUGGAGCUCAACCCU
rnacentral:rRNA from 1 species